rnacentral:misc_RNA from 1 species
GAGUUAGUUUCAUUCGUCCUCGGAACUCCUUGUGGAAGGCACUGUCUGUUUCUGAAGCUCUGUACAUGUACACCUGUGGAUAUCAUCAGUGGUGAUUGUUGGACAGAUCUUUCUGUAUCGUGCAGUGGAAUGUUCUCUAUAAAUACAACUUUUUUUAACGAAUUAUUGACGUGACAAAUUUGGUCAAAUUAAUCAUUUUUUUUAUUUUGGAAAACUUGUUUCCAAUGUUAAACCGGCUUGUUUCGUGAUCGUAGGACCAUUCCAUUGAGAGUAUGCCUGAAUGGAACACGGAACUUGGUGCUACUUUGUGCUACUCUGUUGUGCAAACCCUUUAUACUCAAGUUCAUUGGUCUGAAUACACAGCCUACAAUGUUUAUUGGAGACCCUCUCACCCUGAAACAGCAAGUCUUACAUUAUAUGCUAGUCUUGUGUGGAAGACCCACUUGUUGAUUAAAGUUUCAAUCAGGGUCUGUGGUUGCAGACUACAUGUAGCUUCGUGCAUGGACAAACUGUUUCUUGGAAGGAAAAACUGAGCUCUUCCUCACUAUUGGGACAAAUUCUAUUGAAGAAAAUUUAAUUUGAUUGGAAUAUGAGCAAACAACUACAUGUACAUGUACCUUGAUAAUAUCAAUGUCAGAGCCGACUGAAUGAUUGCUUGUUUGUGUUGCGUGUCUCGUGAAUUUCUGCUUUUGAAUUACAAGUAUUGACUCGACUAAUGCAAGUCUAGAGGGUACUUGUGUCAAUAUUUACUCUCAUAAACUUGGGAUUGGCACUAAUUAUAUCUCUUCAGCAAUGCCCUCGAUGCCAGUCAACUGAAAGAGAAAGAUUAACUAGUUUGCAAUCAGCACUUGAGGAAAACAAAUUUGAUCACACUUUCUAGUCGCCAAUGAUGAAAACUAUUACGGUAUACUACAUGUUUGUGAUUUGAAAUCGGGAAACAUUUUAUGAAACAAGUAGUCCGUAAUUUCCACUGUCAGUUGUUAUAAGCUACAGAAAUCGUGUCAUCCGAUUGGCUCAUCUCAAAUUUGUCAGUGAAAAUAAAUGAUAAAUUGCUUUUAUGAAACACUCUUUAGUUGAUUCUCUGAGGACUGGUAUUCUGUGGAACUGAUUCAUUGUAAUAAACCAAACUGGAUGAAAUUUUUUUAUACAAAUUUUCUUAUACAACGGGAAGAAACGGUGACAGUCCCACACUUUCAACAAAAUAGAAAUAAAUCAAUAUGGCUACUUCGUCUCCUGAAGCUGAUGAGACCGAACCCACAACGCAUAGUCUUGAUGGGUCAGACAUGGACGAGCUCUCGUCAAAAAGCAUCGGGAUGGAAAAGAUUCCUCCUCUUAGUGCAAGCGAACUGGAGGAGCUCCUGAAAAGCAACUGGAGUAAACUCGUCAAGAAUCUAGAGGUGGAGCGGAUCUUACCAAGUUUCCAGGAUGCAUAUCUCCUUGAUGUCACGGACAGGGAAAGAAUUACUAAUGCUUCCAGGUAUCCGACAUCAGUAGAAAGAGCUGGUAUUUUCCUGGACACACUGUCACGCAGAGGUGAUAAAGCCGUAAAGCUCCUCUUCAGCCAAGUUGAAGAGCAUUAUCCGGAAUUGUACAAGGAAAUAACGGGAAGAGAGCCCAAGAUCACCAGACAGAGACUGAAGACAAUCAUGGGACAGAGGGCAUUUCUCACACCGGCCCUGACGCUGACCAUCCUGACGCAGCUGGCGGAGAUGCUGGAGGUGAAGGAGAAGCAGGAGAAAGAACUGGAGCGCACCAAGAAAGACGUCGAAGUUCAGAGACUGGACAUUGAGAAACUCACCCACACCAGGAAUGUGCUUCAGAGGAAGAACAAAGCACUCCGAGUGAAGAAGGAAGAGAGAGAUAAGAUGGAAGCAGAAUUAGCCCAGAGGACUACAAUGCUGAAGGAUGUCCAGAAUAAGCUCCUGAAGUUCCAGAGAGAAGCAGACAAAGCCAAACAUCAUGCAAGAAUGGCAACUUUCAAGAACUUUCAUUUGGAGUAUGAACUGAGGGAGACACAGAACAGGAGGAACAUUGAACGACGUCAAACCCGGAACCUUCAGAGGAGUGUCAAGAACCACGAGAAAUUGUUGUCAGAACACAACAUCACGUAUACCUUUGAUCCCAAAAAGGUGGAGGAGCUUCAACGUGAACUUGAAAAGAUUGAUGACUUUAGACGGUCUGUCGCAGUAAGCGACGAAGUGUGCGAAAUAUCGGAGCGAGUCAAGAGUCAACUCGCUGAAGUGAGGCAAACGAACAAAGGUCUUAACUUGAAGGUGCGGAGAAAGCAAGAAGAAAAUGAACGGCUGAGAGGAGAAAUUGAUUUACUGAAGCAGGAACGAACGAUGAUGAGAGAGACGAUGAAGAUGAACCGCCUGCAUCUUGAGAUGUCUCAGAAAGAACUGGAGAUCGUUAGCCAGGAGAGGGCAAAGUUGAACCAAGCCUAUGAGGAGGUAUUAAAGGACCUGUCCCAAUCGUUCCUCAACACCACAUCCCUACAGCGCAGUGUCAACAAGCUACGACUAGACUAUGCUGAUCUCUCUGAAAGGGUUAUUAAUAAUAAUGAUGGGUCAAUGGAUACAUCUGGAGUAUUUACACACGGUGAUGCAGAUGAUGAACUUGGAGAUGACGAUGAUGAUGUUUUGCUCGAUGCACUGCUAGACAGUGCUUCGAGUGGAGUAGAUGAAAAGAUAGUCCCUAUGCCUCGACCGAGAGUGACGAGAAUGGUCUCCAACACCAGUCGAGGAUGCAAGCUAGAGCAGAUGAAGACAUUGUCCGAGUCUUUUGACAAGGCGUCGUCAGCAUCGUCGCCCUCCCGCACGAUGACCAGCAGCUCUUCAACGACGACUGGAGAUGAUUCUGCCUCUGCUUCGCUCAAGAUCGGUCGCAUCUCGAGGUUCCCCAGCUACAGUUUCCUCGGGAGCAGCGAUGAUGACGGUGACGAUGAAGACGAUUACGAUGAAGAUAUGGCGCGCAGCAAGAGCAGGUUGGAGGAAGAAUUUGAAGUUGUAGACCAGCCAUUUUCAAUGCGUUCCAGGCCGGCUACCCGCCAUGUACGUGCCAUGCAAGAUCGCCGUCGUUCCCGAUCGCUCAGCCGACUGGAAGACUACGAGAGCAUGGAGUUCUUGAACUCACCAGGUUGUUACAGCUUCAUGAGAAAGAAGAACUCAUGGAAGGAAAAAAUUUACACCCUCUUCAAUUUUUGAAAUCCUGGAGCCAACAAGCGUUCAGACAAGGAGCAUCGACUCAUGGAGGGUUAACAUGAGGGGCAUCUACGUGAGGAUCGUGUACUCAUAGAGUGUUAACACAAGGAACAUGCACUCAUGGGGCAUUUACACAAGGUGCAUUUAUACAAAGAGCAAUUACACAUGGAGGGUUAACACGAGGGGCAUCUACGUGAGGAUCGUGCAUUUAUACAAGGAGCAUUUACACAUGGAGCGUUCACACGUGACCACUGGAUCCUUCAUUUGAAUCAUUACAGGAUAAGAGUCACGUGACCAAGAAAUCACUAGCAUGUGCUCAGAUUAAGCCUGAUUUCUCUCCAACAACCAGUUGUUUAAACAAUUGCUUUGAAAGGUGGAUAUUAUAACCUAUUCGCACAAGUGUCUCUUGCAUCUCCUGGGGUUUUUCAUGUCACUGAUUUAUUUUGUUGCACUGUAUGUAGACACAUUUUUAAUAAAUUAUCGAUUACAAAUAAUAUUGAAAUCAGUUUUAAAAAAGCUAAAUAAUGUUACUGUACGUAAGGCAUU